UACGUAGGGGGCAAGCGUUAUCCGGAUUUACUGGGUGUAAAGGGAGCGCAGACGGCAUUGCAAGUCUGAUGUGAAAGCCCGGGGCUCAACCCCGUGCCUGCAUUGGAAACUGUGAGGCUGGAGUGUCGGAGAGGUAAGCGGAAUUCCUAGUGUAGCGGUGAAAUGCGUAGAUAUUAGGAGGAACACCGGUGGCGAAGGCGGCUUCCUGGACCGACACUGACGCUGAGGCGCGAAAGCUAGGGGAGCAAACGGG
rnacentral:rRNA from 1 species